UUUGUAAGUCAGGUGUGAAGUCUCUACAGCUGAACUGUAGAACUGCACUUGAAACUACAGUCCUAGAGUAUGGGAGGGGCAGAUGGAAUUAGUGGUGUAGGGGUAAAAUCCGUAGAUAUCACUAGGAAUACCGAAAGCGAAGGCGAUCUGCUGGAACAUAACUGACGCUAAGGCGUGAAAGCGUGGGGAGCAAACAGGAUUAGAUACUCCGGUAGUUCACGCCCUAAACGAUGUUCACUAGUCGUCGGGAUUCUAGUCAUCUCGGUGAUGCCCUUAACAGAUUAAGUGAGCCACCUGGGGAGUACGGUUGCAAGAUUAAAACUCAAAGGAAUAGACGGGGAACCGCACAAGUGGUGGAGCAUGUGGUUUAAUUCGAAGAUACCCGAAGAACCUUACCUAGCCUUGACAUUGAGAGAACCUGCCAGAGAUGGCGGGGUUCCCUUCGGGGAGCUCGAAAACAGGUGCUGCACGUCUGUAGUCAGCUUGUGUCGUGAGAUGUUGGGUUAAGUCCCGCAACGAGCGCAUCCCUCGUCCUUAGUUGCUAGCAGUUUGGCUGAGCACUGUAAGGAGACUGCGUUCGUAAGGAGGAGGAAGGUGAGGAGGCCGUCAAGUCAUCAUGGCCCUUAUGGGUAGGCCUACACACGUCAUACAAUGGGGCGUACAGAGUGUUGCGAUACCGCGAGGUGGAACCAAUCACUUAAAGCGUCUUUCAGUUCGGAUUGGAGUCUUCAACUCGACUCCAUGAAGCUGGAAUCACUAGUAAUCGUAGAUCAGCAAUGGUGCGGUGAAUACGUUCCCGGGUCUUGUACUCCCCGCCCGUCACACCAUGGGAGUUGAUUUCACCCGAAAUCGGGAAGCCAACCUUCGGGGGGCUCCCGCUUACGGUGGAAUUAGCGACUGGGGUGAAGUCGUAACAAGGUAAC
rnacentral:rRNA from 1 species